CGGGGUAUAGCGCAGCCUGGUAGCGCGCUUGCUUUGGGAGCAAGAUGUCGAAGGUUCAAAUCCUUCUAUCCCGA
rnacentral:tRNA from 1 species